UCAGACAAUUCUAUAAAAUCAAAUUUAUCUGGAAUGGAUGUUCCCAUUAUUAAUUUUGUUGGUUUUCUUUGCAUUAGAUUUCUUGCUAUGUUUUAGAAUUUUGUUUUGCAGGCUAAUGUUGGUCAUAAGGAUUUUUUGGUCUCCUGUCUGUCUGUCUCUCUCUCUUUUAAUUUGUUCAUAUAUCACUGACUAAUGAUUUUCCAGUUGCCUAUAUCUGAAUUCCUGGGUAUCUAGUUUCAAUCCAAAUCUUAUAAUGGUAGCUUUCAGCUUCACUUUAACAAUAUUGGAUCAUGAGAUGCUGUCUUUAUUCUGCCUUUCAGUGCCUGAAGCUCUGUAUAAGCUCUUGCCCCAAGCAGCAACUGGCCAAAUUUUUCGCAGCUUCUUAUUGAAGUAGUGAGCCAGACUUAGGUCCACCCUUUCAUAUGAAGCCUUUUUGGCCCCAUUAGUCCAAAAAGCUAGAUUCCCAGCCACCUCUGUGGGCUUCUGGAUUUGGAUUCAGCAUGCUUAUGCCUUCAGCCCCUGCUCACUGCUUUUUAUUUCUUUACAGAAAUGAUCACUUUCUUUUUAAGUCUCAGUCUCUUCAGUUCUUUUCAUUUUAUAGUAUAUCAAUUUUUUCAGUUAUCAGUAUGUUUUGGACAACACUCCUUUGAUUUUUACCUCUCUUUUAUUAAGAUACAUCAUUUUAAAACAAUUAUAAAUAAUAUUUAUUAUUAUUGAAUGUUCAGUGGUGCUAGGUACUGAACUUCAUAGAUACUAUCUUAUUCAAUUCUCUCUAUACUCAGUUAUAUAUAUUCAUAUUUUAUAAAUUAGGAAGUUGAGAUAAAUAGGCUAAAUAAAGCCCCACUCAAGAAAGAGGCUAUAACUAGUAAAUGGCAGGAGUAAUUUUUUUUUUUUUUUUGUCUUUUGUCUUUUUAGGGCUACAUCCGUGGCAUAGGGAGGUUCCCAGGCUAGAGGCCUAAUCAGAGCUGUUGCUGCCAGCCUACGCCAGUGCCACAGCAACGCCAGAUCUGAGCCACGUCUGUGACCUAUACUGUAUCUGCUGCCGACCUACACCAGAGUCACAGCAACACUGGAUCCUUAACCCACUAAGUGAGGCCAGGCAUCGAACCUGCAACCUCAUGGUUACUGGUCGGAUUUGUUUCCACUGGGCCAAGAUGGGAACUCCAGGAAUUUUGUGAAGUUUUUUUAGGCCUAUAUUAUGGUGUAUAUUUUAAUAAUGUUAAUUAAUAAUAUUUAUUAUUGUAAAAAAUAUUUCUAGUACUGUCUCAGAAAUUUAUUUAGUAUUUUCUGUUUUUCUGAAUUCUUGGUCCUCUCUUUCUCUUCCAAAUCUAGCAGUUUGGAAGUUUUAAGCAGUUUAUUCUAGUAAUAAUUACUGUCUUUGUUAAAAUUGUUGAGGCCUAUUUUUUUAAAUUAUCAACAUUAAUGAAAUCAUAUGCUGUAUGAAGUGAGAAAUUUAGGAUGCUGCUUCUUCAUUCCUCUCCUCCUACCCACUUUCUCAGUUUUGGUUAUAAUACAUUAUAUCAAAUAUAGAUUAUUAUUUGUCUUUAUGAUACAGCUGUGGAGAGGAUAAUCACAAAAGGCCAGAUGAUUUAUUUCAGUAAUAGAGAGCUUCUAGCACAGAGUAGGUGCUUAAUGAAUGUUUGUUGGAUAUGAAAUGAACAGACUUAUUUUGUGUGCACACACAUGCACAUAGAGAAAGAAAACAUAGUUAAGAUCUCUUUAGACUCCCUCUACUACUGGAUGACCCACUUACUUACUCAUUUAAACUUUAGAUUUUGUAAGCUGUGUAACUGCCAUAUGGUUUAAUAAAUACUCUUUCUAUGAAUACUUUUGUUAGGCAAACACAUGCUUGUGAAUCAGCCCUUUACAAUCAAUGAGCUCCUAUCCAAUUUAGUUCAAUUCAUAGCUAUCCCCACAUUUUCCCCUUCCGCCCUAUCCUAUCCCUAUAAAUCAUUAGUAUGUUUGGCAACUCCCACCCUUAUAGCCCAUUAUCUUCCAAAAUAGUUCAUGUAGUUUACUAUUUAAAUAGAGGCAUUUUAAAGUAGUUCUUUUUUAAUGGUACUUCUUAAAAAUCCCCAAUUAUAGUCAAAGGAAAUUCUUUAUAGAAAUUGUUAGGAAAAUUGGAUUUUCCAUUGAAUGCCACUAGAUAUUACCAAGAAACUUAGUGAUGAUCUGCUACAUGCAAGAAUAAAAAUAUGACACUUAUAUUGUAGCAAAGCAGAUUAAAGAAAAUAACAUAGAUUAAGAAGAAGAAAGCAAACUAGUAUAAACUGGGUCAUUUGCCAAUAUACAAAUUUUAUGAAAAUUUUAAUGACACAUUUGAUCAGUUUAUAAAAAGUAUGUAUUAUUUAUGUUUAUAAAAACACUCAAGCCUUCUGUGUGUCAUGAUUUUAACAAUCUUUAUGCACAAGAACAGAUUGAAAUGAAACAGUUGUUUCUAUUCUUUAAAUUGUAAAAAUGAUUUUUUUUUUUUUUUGGUUAUUCUCUGAAAGACACCAAACUGGAAAUCAGGAGACAUAGUUUCUAGUCUAUAUUCUAUCAUCUAACUAGCUCUAUGACUUUGAGUAAUUUACUAAGCUCUUUGAGUCAGUUUCUUCAUUUAUAAAUGUGAAGAGUUUGUUUGAUUUUUCUCUGUAAAUCCCCUUCCAGGGCUCGUGUCUAGUAUUCAAUACUGUGUCUAUCUGUCUCUCUCUAUUACAUAUAAAUACUCAGAUAUAAAAACUUAAUGCAUAUAAGUUCCAUACAUCAAUAACCUAAGUUAAUCAACAGAAUUCAUAAGGAGAUAUCAAAAAACAGAAUUAAUUUUCUCCUGAAUAAGGCAGUUGAAUUUAGCCAAUAGAUAAAUUACUGGGAACUACUGUAGGUUCUUGAUCAGGGCUGAGAUGAUAAAAGCAGUAUUUUCAAAAGUAUUCUUAGGCAACAGUGUACAGAAUGGAUCGGAUGGAAGAAAUCUGGAGUACAAAAUAGGCAGACAUGAUACCACGGCUCAGGAUGAGAUAAGGAGAGUCUAGAGUAUAGUGAUAGUAUCAGAGUAGAAGCAAAAGACACAGCGUAUUGAGAUGUAUAUUUGUUCACAAAAAAUUUAAAAAGAUUAUCAAAAGAAAAGUUAUGAAAGAGGAAAUGCAAAUGUCUAAUAAACAUGAAAAGUGCAUUAAUGCUCUGGCACUCAAAGAUGUGAUUUAUAAAAAAAAUAAUUCUCAAUGCUGAUAAAUGUGCAGUAAAACUGGCACUUAUGUAAUAGUGAUAUGGGGGAUGCUUGUUGACACAAAAUUCUGCCAAGUAAUAUGACAAUAUAUUGUCAAGAACUUUUCUUUAAAAAUGUGCUCAAAUCUUGUUGUCUCAGCAGCAGCACCAGUUCCAUCUCCCGCCCAGCACAGUUGGUUAAGGAUCUGAGGUUGAUGCAGCUGUGGCAUAGGUCACAGCUGCAGCUCAGACUCAAUCCCUGGCCUGGAAACUUCCAUACGGCACGGGUACAGCUGCAAAACUUAAAAAAAUGUGUUCUUUGACGCAGUCAUUUAACUUCUGGGAAUGUACCUAGAAGGUACUAGUUUCUGAUAAGAAUCAGAAACUCAAAGACCUGUUCAUCACAAUUUCAUUUAUAAAAGUGAAAGAAAGGGAAAGCAAUCUUAAAUAUUUAAUCAAAGAAAUUAUUACACAAAUUAUGGAACAUAUAUAUUAUUGUAUAACAUUAUUAGCUACAUAGUUAUUAAAGGUAUUUUAAAUAAUUAUUUUACUAGGAAAUGUUCAUGAAACAAUGUAACUGAAAAUACCUGAUUCAAAAGAAACAUGUAUACCUAACAUGAUC
rnacentral:lncRNA from 1 species